CCCAGGCCUGUGGUGAAUAUUGCCUGGCUACUGCCAAUGUUCACUCAAGGCUAAGGGCUCUUUAGUCAGCUUGUGGUGAAUGCUGUCAGGCCUGGGACUCUUCCUUCAGGACAGUGGGCUCCUUGCUGGCCCAGGGCAGUCCAGAAAUGCUGUCUGAGAGCCAACUUCUGGAACUGGGGACCCUGAGAUCCUACUUGGUGCUCCAUCCCACUGUGGCUGAGCUGGUGGUACCUGAGGUGCAAGACAAUGUCUCCAUUACUCUUCACUCUCCUUUUUCAAGCAGGAGUCUCUUCCAUAGACAUCACAGCUGGAAAUGUGCUGAGUCAUAUCUGAAGCCAGGAUGUUUCUGAGUCUCACCCAGGGCCCACAAUGACUAUUUCACCUGACUUUCAGCUUAAUGACGUGGCUUCCUGCUUGACGUGGAAAGUGGAAGCACUCAGAGGAAGAUGGCCAGACUCCCCACACCACAUUUUCCUUCUUACAGUCGUCUAUGUUGACACAUUCUGCCUUCCAUCUACAGGCAUUCCUUGGAGAUAUUGCAGGUUCAGUUCCAGACCACCACAAUAAAACAAAUGUCCCAAUAAAGCAUCUGCAAAGAUAAUCUCAACGAUUCUACUUAAACUCCUUAGCUAUUAAGAAAGGCAGUAACAUCAACAGGCUGAGCUGGCCCUUGAAAUGGGAGAAGCUCCUAACAGCAUCUGGUCAGCUUAGCUGAUGCAAUUGCAAGGCUGGCCUGGAGAAGGCCCCAUCCAGAGACUCCUCCCUGCAGAACCAGAUGGCUUCAAGAAUAUGUGCAUCCGUGCUGGGCCCUGGGAGCUGGGGUUCUACUUAAACACCUUUGGACCUGCUGGGACGUCCUUCCUUGAGUCAAAAAAGAGGAAUGCAUCUCUUCAUAAAGACAUAGACAUAUAAUUUUACUGGAAUGAAACCUUAUCUUACAUGCCCUUUUCACCAUGGCUACAGCUCCCCACUCUCUCAUCUCCCCACAGCCAG
rnacentral:lncRNA from 1 species